UUAUUAAACUUUUCAAAUUGUACAUAAUAAACAUUUACGGAAGUCGGAUUAUACAUUGAAAAUGCAUAUUGAGCCCAAGGUGCAUCACAGGAGGUUGGUGACACCUUGAUUGGGGAGGACGGUCUCGUUGUAAUGGCUGGAGCAGAAUCAGUGGAACACAUCAAACACUGUUGUCCGUGUGUUUGUCAUCAGCUAUUAACGAUGAGCCGUCCUCCCCUCAUCAGCGCCCCACUGAGGUCUCCACCAAACCCUGGUCACAGCCAUUAACGAUGAGCCGUCCUCCCCUCAUCAGCGCCCCACUGAGGUCUCCACCAAACCCUGGUCACAGCCAUUAACGAUGAGCCGUCCUCCCCUCAUCAGCGCCCCACUGAGGUCUCCACCAAACCCUGGUCACAUCCAUUAACGAUGAGCCGUCCUCCCCUCAUCAGCGCCCCACUGAGGUCUCCACCAAACCCUGGUCACAGCCAUUAACGAUGAGCCGUCCUCCCCUCAUCAGCGCCCCACUGAGGUCUCCACCAAACCCUGGUCACAGCCAUUAACGAUGAGCCGUCCUCCCCUCAUCAGCGCCCCACUGAGGUCUCCACCAAACCCUGGUCACAGCCAUUAACGAUGAGCCGUCCUCCCCUCAUCAGCGCCCCACUGAGGCCUCCACCAAACCCUGGUCACAGCCAUUAACGAUGAGCCGUCCUCCCCUCAUCAGCGCCCCACUGAGGUCUCCACCAAACCCUGGUCACAGCCAUUAACGAUGAGCCGUCCUCCCCUCAUCAGCGCCCCACUGAGGUCUCCACCAAACCCUGGUCACAGCCAUUAACGAUGAGCCGUCCUCCCCUCAUCAGCGCCCCACUGAGGUCUCCACCAAACCCUGGUCACAGCCAUUAACGAUGAGCCGUCCUCCCCUCAUCAGCGCCCCACUGAGGUCUCCACCAAACCCUGGUCACAGCCAUUAACGAUGAGCCGUCCUCCCCUCAUCAGCGCCCCACUGAGGCCUCCACCAAACCCUGGUCACAUCCAUUAACGAUGAGCCGUCCUCCCCUCAUCAGCGCCCCACUGAGGCCUCCACCAAACCCUGGUCACAGCCAUUAACGAUGAGCCGUCCUCCCCUCAUCAGCGCCCCACUGAGGUCUCCACCAAACCCUGGUCACAGCCAUUAACGAUGAGCCGUCCUCCCCUCAUCAGCGCCCCACUGAGGUCUCCACCAAACCCUGGUCACAUCCAUUAACGAUGAGCCGUCCUCCCCUCAUCAGCGCCCCACUGAGGUCUCCACCAAACCCUGGUCACAGCCAUUAACGAUGAGCCGUCCUCCCCUCAUCAGCGCCCCACUGAGGUCUCCACCAAACACAAAGGUUUAAGAACUUUAAAAAAUAUAAAUAAAAUAGAGGUCUUGAACACAUUCAAAUGUCAUAUCAGGUUGUAUUGAAGCCUAUGAGUUUCAGAGUAUGUUUGUUUUUAAACAAAAUCCUAAUGAUUAAACAAAAACAGAUGUCGGCUAAAAGAAGAACAUCUCCCUUUAUGUAUAAAUCAUGUGACAAAUUGACAUCAUUACCAUCCUGGAAUAAACACAAUUUGACUUCA